rnacentral:rRNA from 1 species
UCAAGAAACUUCCACAAUGGGCGAAAGCCUGAUGGAGCGACGUCGCGUGAUGGACGAAGUGCUUCGGCACGUAAACAUCUUUUAUGUGGGAUGAAAUUAUUGACAGUACCACAUGAAUAAGGGGCUCCUAACUCUGUGCCAGCAGCCGCGGUAAUACAGAGACUGCAAGCGUUAUUCGGAUUCACUGGGCGUAAAGGGUGCGCAGGCGGUUGGGUGUGUCAGAUGUGAAAUCCCGAGGCUUAACCUCGGAACUGCGUCUGAAACUACUCGACUAGAGUACUGGAGAGGGUAACGGAAUUCACGGUGUAGCAGUGAAAUGCGUAGAUAUCGUGAGGAACACCAGCGGCGAAGGCGGUUACCUGGACAGUUACUGACGCUCAGGCACGAAAGCAUGGGGAGCAAAAGGGAUUAGAUACCCUUGUAGUCCCUGAGCGGGCUGGCAAGGCGCAU